rnacentral:lncRNA from 1 species
UUUUAGGUCAAAUCCCAAUGGGUUACUGGGCUGUCAGUCAUGUGCAGGCUCAACCCUUAAGCCCUGAGGCAAUCAACAUAAGCCAAACCAACCCAACAACCCAGUAGAGAAGUGGAAUCCUCCUUUUCAAAGAAUGGCUACCAAAGGACAACAAAGGAGAGGCCCCCUGAGAGCACAAUCAAGAACCUACAGAUAAACUUAAAAAAAAAAAAAAAAAAAAAAAAAAAAAAAAAAAGGCCUCUUGUUUUCCAGCCAGAAGGCAAAGGGCCUCUCUGCUAUCCCCUAUAAAUUACAGGUUAGUUUUCAAGGCAAGCUGUAGUUCAAAAUUUAGGUACAUGGAAUGUUUGGUCUCUUUUUUUAAGAUAACUG